GAGUGCAAUUCAGAGUUUAAGAGAAGUUAGAGCUGUGCACAGUGACCUCAAUUACCUAGACAGACACCGGAGAGACUUCGAAAAACCCCGAUCGGAUCACAGAGCCCCUUAAACUGGGCUAACAUUUGGGCAGGAACAGGGUAAACGUGUGAUUUUGUUUUGAGCCUAUGGAAGGUGCGGGUGUUCCGCGACGCGCAGAUUUGAGAAGUGGAUGUUAAAGUCAGCUCCGAGCCCCUGGAGCGUGUCCAGAACUCAGCAGUUCUGCCCCAACCCCUAUCAACCUCGCAUUCCUUGAACCUCCCCCCAACCCCCACCUCACCACCCCGCUCCUGUUCAUCUUCAGCUGACCCACAUCUGGCCCGGUUCUGCUGCAAAUUCCAUUGCCAAGGAAGCAGGAACAGUGGGCUGAUCCAAGCCAGCCCCCAAAUUCCUGAAGCGUUAACAGGUCUCAGUGAGCAAGUGACCUCUUUGGAAGGCCUUCCACAGCCACAGUAGGU